CAGGGCUCAUGGUGGAUCCGGCCUACCCCGCGCGUCCGGGUUGAGGCUCGAGACGCUGGGUUGAUCUUGCUUAAGGAGAGCUUGAUGGGCUUUGGGCCAUUGUUCUCCUCUUGGACCCGGCCUCAUCCAGGGUAGAGGAAGCCCGAUGGUCAUCAAUUGCCCCUUUACCUCAUCGGCAGUUAUUACAUGAGUGGCGAGGAGGUAAAUCCCUAGACUCCAUUUAUGACUGCGUGGCCUGAGAACUGCUCUUGUUAAAAGCGCCCUUUCCUUGCCUUUUUAUUU
rnacentral:lncRNA from 1 species